UACGGAGGGGGCUAGCGUUAUUCGGAAUUAUUGGGCGUAAGGGCGUGUAGGCGGCUAGGUAAGUCAAAGGUGAAACCCCCCGGCUCAACCGAGGAACUGCCUUUGAAACUGCCUGGCUUGAGGCCGGGAGAGGGUAGUGGAAUUCCCAGUGUAGCGGUGAAAUGCGUAGAUAUUGGGAGGAACACCGGUGGCGAAGGCGGCUACCUGGACCGGUUCUGACGCUGAGGCGCGAAAGCGUGGGGAGCAAACAGG
rnacentral:rRNA from 1 species